AGCAGUUGAUAAUGAAGAAAUUAGCUUGAUGAAACAAAACAACUUUACAUCAGUGGGAUUUGGGUCUGAAUUUGAUGUGGUAGCUGUUCCUAAUUGGUUGAUUACUUAUCAGAAGGAAAAAUGUUCAGGCAAAAUCUUCUUAAGAGAUGCAACGCAACAACCACUUCUCUCUCUCUCCCUCCCUCUCUCUAUAGUGGAAAGUGAUGAUUUCAAUAAUUGUGUAAAUUGGCAUUGUGUUGCCUUUUCAAUCCCAUUGAGAUGUAGCAUUUUUAUUUACUGGCAAUGUUAGAAUUUAGAUACAUCUUAGACAUCAAGAAUGAUUAAUGUAAUGUAUGAACUAUAUUUGAAUGA